GCCCAUACCCGCUUUUUUGGGAGAAGAUCCACCGUUUUAAUCUCGUCUAUCUUAGCUGCCACAAUAAAGUCAUUCAUACACAAGCCACCUACUGAAGCAGUCCAUAACUCUGCCUUGACUUGGUUGGGUUGUUCCAUAUGAAGAUCUGGGCAGUGUCCAACAGCUUCUGUGACCUUUUGAAUUCUACUAAUCAGCUCGACUCCACAAGCAUGAUCUCUUACUUUCCACGUGCACUGGAGUCUCAACCCUCCAUCGCCCUCCACAAGCCUCCAACCAACAACCUUUCUGAGCAGUUUCCUGGCGUCCUCGAUUGCCAUCGGCGGCUGAGACGGCG
rnacentral:misc_RNA from 1 species